CGAUGUGAGGGAGAUCUAUAUGCAAUAUCUGUUACCCCAUCAAUCACCACGGUUGACUGAACUGAUCUGGCUGGCUAGGUAUUUGUCCCCUUCUUCCCUCACCACUCCAUGUGUGUCCGUCCUGAAGUUGUACACUCCCUCAAAGAGGAUAAUCUUCCCUGAUAGAAAGGGGAAGAACGUUCUUCCAUCAAGGGUAUACGAGUAGCUGCACUCCCCUACUAGAAGCUCCAAACAAGCUCUCAAGGUCCAUUUGAAGGAGAACAUAGGUUCUUAAACAUAGGUUCAAGCUUCCAAGACACUAGACACAUCCAAAUGAGGUGCUUCAUGUGGCAGUCUUCCUUUCUUU
ensembl:misc_RNA 7SK 7SK RNA